rnacentral:misc_RNA from 1 species
GGUGAAGAACGCAGCGAAAUGCGAUAAGUAAUGUGAAUUGCAGAAUUCAGUGAAUCAUCGAAUCUUUGAACGCACCUUGCGCUCCUUGGUAUUCCGAGGAGCAUGCCUGUUUGAGUGUCAUGAAAUUCUCAAGCUUUUCAGCUUUCUUUGUUGAUCAGGCUUGGAUGUGGGAGUAUGCGGGCUUCUCAGAAGUCGGCUCUCCUGAAAUGCAUUAGCGGGACCUUUGUUGCCUGGCUUUGGUGUGAUAAUUAUCUACGCCAUUGUAGUCAAGCAGCUUAAAAUGAGGUUUCAGCUUCUAACCGUCUCCCCUGAGACAACUUUUUGACAAUUUGACCUCAAAUCAGGUAGGACUACCCGCUGAACUUAAGCAUAUCAAUAAGCGGAGGA